UGGGGGAUAUUGCACAAUGGGGGAAACCCUGAUGCAGCGACGCCGCGUGGAGGAAGAAGGUUUUCGGAUUGUAAACUCCUGUCGUUAGGGACGAUAAUGACGGUACCUAACAAGAAAGCACCGGCUAACUACGUGCCAGCAGCCGCGGUAAAACGUAGGGUGCAAGCGUUGUCCGGAAUUACUGGGUGUAAAGGGAGCGCAGGCGGGAAGACAAGUUGGAAGUAAAAACCAUGGGCUCAACCCAUGAAUUGCUUUCAAAACUGUUUUUCUUGAGUAGUGCAGAGGUAGAUGGAAUUCCCGGUGUAGCGGUGGAAUGCGUAGAUAUCGGGAGGAACACCAGUGGCGAAGGCGGUCUACUGGGCACCAACUGACGCUGAGGCUCGAAAGCAUGGGUAGCAAACAGGAUUAGAUACCCUGGUAGUCCAUGCCGUAAACGAUGAUUACUAGGUGUUGGGGGAUUGACCCCCUCAGUGCCGCAGUUAACACAAUAAGUAAUCCACCUGGGGAGUACGACCGCAAGGUUGAAACUCAAAGGAAUUGACGGGGGCCCGCACAAGCAGUGGAGUAUGUGGUUUAAUUCGAAGCAACGCGAAGAACCUUACCAGGUCUUGACAUCCGAUGCAUAACACAGAGAUGUGUGAAAUCCUUCGGGACAUCGAGACAGGUGGUGCAUGGUUGUCGUCAGCUCGUGUCGUGAGAUGUUGGGUUAAGUCCCGCAACGAGCGCAACCCUUAUUGCCAGUUACUACGUUAAGAGGACUCUGGCGAGACUGCCGUUGACAAAACGGAGGAAGGUGGGGAUGACGUCAAAUCAUCAUGCCCUUUAUGACCUGGGCUACACACGUACUACAAUGGCGUUAAACAAAGAGAAGCAAGACCGCGAGGUGGAGCAAAACUCAAAAACAGCGUCUCAGUUCAGAUUGCAGGCUGCAACUCGCCUGCAUGAAGUCGGAAUUGCUAGUAAUCGCGGAUCAGCAUGCCGCGGUGAAUACGUUCCC
rnacentral:rRNA from 1 species